rnacentral:rRNA from 1 species
CACGUAGGGACCGAGCGUUGUCCGGAUUUAUUGGGCGUAAAGAGCUCGUAGGCGGUCGCGUAAGUCGGGUGUGAAAUCUCCAGGCUCAACUUGGAGGGGCCACCCGAUACUGCACGACUCGAGUCCGGUAGGGGAGUGGGGAAUUCCUGGUGUAGCGGUGAAAUGCGCAGAUAUCAGGAGGAACACCGGUGGCGAAGGCGCCACUCUGGGCCGGUACUGACGCUGAGGCGCGAAAGCGUGGGGAGCAAACAGG